rnacentral:lncRNA from 1 species
CACUGUACAGCAAGGGGAUCAGGUUAUCCUUACAUGUAUACAUUACAAUUACAUUUUCCCCCACCCUUUCUUCUGUUGCAACAUGAGUAUCUAGACAUAGUUCUCAAUGCUAUUCAGCAGGAUCUCCUUGUAAAUCUAUUCUAAGUUGUGUCUGAUAAGCCCAAGCUCCCGAUCCCUCCCACUCCCUCCCCCUCCCAUCAGGCAGCCACAAGUCUCUUCUCCAAGUCCAUGAUUUUCUUUUCUGAGGAGAUGUUCAUUUGUGCUGGAUAUUAGAUUCCAGUUAUAAGUGAUAUCAUAUGGUAUUUGUCUUUGUCUUUCUGGCUCAUUUCACUCAGUAUGAGAUUCUCUAGUUCCAUCCAUGAAUGGCAUUAUGCCAUUAUGUCAUUCUUUUUUAUGGCUGAGUAGUAUUCCAUUGUGUAUAUAUACCACAUCUUCCGAAUCCAAUCAUCUGUCGAUGGACAUUUGGGUUGUUUCCAUGUCCUGGCUAUUGUGAAUAGUGCUGCAAUGAACAUGCGGGUGCAUGUGUCUCUUUUAAGUAGAGUUUUGUCCGGAUAGAUGCCCAAGAGUGGGAUUCCCGUUUUCCCUUCAGGUCCUCAGACAUGGGUUUUCUUGGUGGCCCCUGCCAGUUCGCCUGCUUCCGGAGCUGCAAACAAGGAGGUGAUUGGAAAGGGAGGAUGGGGAGCUUGUUUCUGUGUUUGAUAAAUUCUGAAACAAUGAAUUCAUGCGUCCUGCGAAACUAUUUUUGGUACCCCUGGGACUGUGAACACUAAAAAGCAACGUGUGAUCCGCUGCACCAUAGAGGAACAUGGCUUUUUGAUGACCUGACCGUGUCACUCCACUGGCGAUUCUCAAAGCCAGGUUCAGCCUGUAGUUCCGCGUCUUUUACUGAGCACCUUUAAUAGCUGUGUUGAGGAUGGGGGAUGUGGCUCUUCCCUCACCCUGGACUCCACCGCAGGGUGUGAACAGAGCAGCCAAGAAGCGGAUGAACACGAGAAGGCUGAUGACGAAGCAGGGAACAGGGACCGGGAGCACCGGGCGGGACCGCAGUUGGCACUGGCCUCAUCAGACAGCAGCCUCCCUGGGAGGGUGACGUGGGGUCAAGAGUUGAAGAAAGCCCCUCAGGCCGGGGAGCUAAAGAUGUGGCAUCCUGAGGCAGGUGCUCACUGGAGAGAGGGCAGAGGCCAGCCCGGAACCCAGCACGCGGGGACGAGAGCAGGAGGAACAGAAGGGGCUGUGCGGCGGAGGACCACGUCUGGGUGAGGGAGAGAUGGCGGGGCUGGGAAGGAAACGGCCAUCGAGGGGGGUAAGGAGGUCCCGAAACCGAGAAACGCUUUGAUGUCGCGAGGGCGGUGGAGGCAGGUUCUUCCAUAGCUGGGUCCGUGCUUCAGACAGAAAGGCCCAACUUCUUUUUCAGGACGGCGGGUUAAUCGUGGGCCGCAGCCCUCUGCUGCUGCUGCAGGUCCCUGGAUAACACAAAAACUACCAUUAGCAACCCCACUGUAACGCAACCGGAGGCUGUGAGGAACCCCUGUGCAUUGUAAAGUAAGCAGAAUCCGUCUGGAAAAUGAAGUGACGGCUGAAAUUGUGCCCGAGACAGUUGUAGCCAAACCAGGUCUUAGGCAAGACCGAGAGUGCCCCAUGCCAGGGGGUGGAAGGGGGUCGGCAGUGACCCACAGAGGCCUUCUAGAGAUGUGGCGUCCAGUCGCCCGGCAGUUCAACCCUCACUGCCCUCACAGCCCCAGCUGGGCUGCACUGAGAGCUCUGGCAUCCCCUGGGGUCAGUGCGUCUCAGAGACAUGGGCGGUGGUCCUCAGGACGCCGGUGGUUCCUUGCCAGGUGGCUCAUGAGGAUCUCUCGUCUUUGUGAGGAGGGAAAGGCUGAGGCUGAGUGCCAGCCGCAUACUCUGCCCGCCUUGCCAGUGGGCUGCACUGAGCCGACCUGGCAGGCAGAGAAACAGGGAUCCCAAUGACCCAGCUCACCACGGAGGGAGACAGGUUCAGCGAACGGAAGAACUCACGCCUGAAGAAGCAAGUGCAUGGAGCAGUAAAGUAGGGCUUUCAAAUGCUGCAUUCCUCAGAGCUGAAGGACAAUACCAAGAAAAACGCAUCAAAGGAUAAUGGACGUUGAAGAAAGAUUGAGUCAGCGAAAGACUUCCUAGAACGUCGGACAAAUGGAUAAAGAGAAGCCAUGAGAGAGAAAUGGAGACUAACACCAGAAUAUCCGACAUCUAAUCAAAAGCAGUGUCAGUGGGAGAGAAGGUGGAGAGUAAAUAAAGGCGCAAUGAAAGAAUAUUCGCAAUAAUGGAAGAGAUGAAUUUUAAAACUGAAGCGGCCAAUUAAGUGCUAGGUUGAAUUUGCCACAAACAAGCCAGCCUCUCCCACACGCAGAGGAAAUCAGUGGGAAAGUGAAAGUCUAACAAUUUCCCAGAGGGAAGAAACAGAUGAUUCAUAGG